UACGUUGGGUGCAAGCGUUGUCCGGAAUUAUUGGGCGUAAAGAGCUCGUAGGCGGUCUGUCGCGUCGGCUGUGAAAACUCGGGGCUCAACCCCGAGCCUGCAGCCGAUACGGGCAGACUAGAGUUCGGUAGGGGAGACUGGAAUUCCUGGUGUAGCGGUGAAAUGCGCAGAUAUCAGGAGGAACACCGGUGGCGAAGGCGGGUCUCUGGGCCGAUACUGACGCUGAGGAGCGAAAGCGUGGGGAGCGAACAGG
rnacentral:rRNA from 1 species